rnacentral:rRNA from 1 species
UACGUAGGGUGCAAGCGUUAUCCGGAAUUAUUGGGCGUAAAGAGCUCGUAGGCGGUUUGUCGCGUCUGCUGUGAAAACUGGGGGGCUCAACCCCCCAGCCUGCAGUGGGUACGGGCAGACUAGAGUGCGGUAGGGGGAGAUUGGAAUUCCUGGUGUAGCGGUGGAAUGCGCAGAUAUCAGGAGGAACACCGAUGGCGAAGGCAGAUCUCUGGGCCGUAACUGACGCUGAGGAGCGAAAGCAUGGGGAGCGAACAGG